rnacentral:tRNA from 3 species
GGAGCAGUACUCAAGUGGUCGAAGAGGCGUGACUCGAAAUCUCGUAGAACCGUAAGGUUGCCAGGGUUCAAAUCCCUGCUGCUCCGCCA